rnacentral:rRNA from 1 species
UACGUAGGUGGCAAGCGUUGUCCGGAAUUAUUGGGCGUCAAGCGCGCGCAGGCGGUCCUUUAAGUCUGAUGUGAAAGCCCACGGCUCAACCGUGGAGGGUCAUUGGAAACUGGGGGACUUGAGUACAGAAGAGAAGAGUGGAAUUCCACGUGUAGCGGUGAAAUGCGUAGAGAUGUGGAGGAACACCAGUGGCGAAGGCGACGCUUUGGUCUGUAACUGACGCUGAGGCGCGAAAGCGUGGGGAGCAAACAGG